rnacentral:pre_miRNA from 1 species
UAAGUGCAACUUUGAUAAUACUACCACUGAUGGAGUUUGGAAUCACGAUGCUGCAGUUU